AUUGAACGCUUGCGGCAGGCCUAACACAUGCAAGUCGAACGAGUGGCGGACGGGUGAGUAAUGUAUGGGUAACUGCCUGAUGGAGGGGGAUAACUACUGGAAACGGUACCUAAUACCGCAUACCAUCAUAUGAGCCCAUAUGGGAUGAGCUUGUCGGUGUGGUCACGGCUCACCUAGGCGACGAUCCCUAGCUGGUCUGAGAGGAUGAACAGCCACACUGGAACUGAGAAACGGCACAGACUCCUACGGGAGGCAGCAGUGGGGAAUAUUGCACAAUGGGCGCAAGCCUGAUGCAGCCAUGCCGCGUGUAUGAAGAAGGCCUUCGGGUUGUAAAGUACUUUCAGCGGGGAGGCGUUACCGACAGAAGAAGCACCGGCUAACUCCGUGCCAGCAGCCGCGGUAAUUC
rnacentral:rRNA from 1 species